UUCAAAAUUCCUAUCACACAGCCAAGCCCAGCUUCCUAGCUGACCAGGUGAGGCUCACUAGAUCUGGGAGGUGUGUGAUUGCUCUGCUGGAUUAGGUUUGGGACAGGUGAGGGUCACAGGCCUCAUCAAGCCCAGAUGCUGCAAUCAGCAAGCAAAGUGUAAAAGGGAAGCAGAGCUGAGGUGCUGUGUCUGCUCUAACACUCUUGUUGGUGGACUUCAGCUUGGAUCAGUGCUGGAUUAAACCCUGUGGAGGCCCCUAAGUGGUCAGAAUCUCAGCCCCUCCCCCAUUGAACUAAGAAAGCUUGUAUGUAAUUUGCUUUCCAGGUCAAAUCAAUGUUAUUUUGAUCUUUUGUUGCAGGACUCCUAAAAGGCCUCUAGGCUGCUGCCUAUUUGGUAAUCUGGCACUGGCUUGAACGCUCCAGGAUUUCUGCAGGAUUGGGCUUCAGUUUGGACUUUGGACAUGUGGGUUGACCUUGGACUGGGAACUUGCCACCAGAAGCCGAACGUCUGAUGCGGCUGUCGGCUAUUGUUUCCGGGGCGCCAGAAUUACAGAUUACGUUUGAGAACCAAGGUAC